AAAAACCCUACGUUUUGAACACUAAAAGGGUUUUGAACAGUAAAAGGGCUUUCUUGGUAAAUUACAAAUUUGUGUACCCAUCGUAUAAUACCCUCAACCCCUGCCCUACACCCACCGUUGAAAGAGAGCUGCCGGGAGGUGGCUACCGCCGGCCACACAUGUCGCCGCCCUAAUCUCAUGUGAAGCCCCAGUAUCAAACCCAAACCUACUGCACCACCACACACCGCUGAUUACACGCCAGAGAGAUCAGAAAGAAGGAGAGAGAGAAUGGUAGCGGGCCAUGUCCCCGUGUGUGUGCCAAAACGGCGGCGUUGCCUAUCACUGGUGGUGUGGUGGUUACUAGAGAGAUUAUCAGUGUGUGGUUCCGGUGGUGACGGGAUCAGGGUCCCGUUCCGGUGGUGCGAUCCAGUGUGAUUAGGGCUCCGGUGAGGUAGGGUUCUAGCGAAAUUAAGAGGUUUUUUGAAGGCGGCGAUUAGGGUUCAGCUGGUGACAAGUCGAAUGGAGUAGACAGCGGUUCAAGUUCAAUUCAUACAGGUAACCUGACUAUUGUUAUCAGUCUGUAUUAGUAGUUUGGACAUGAAUAAGAUUUCUUUUUUAAACCUUUGAUGGAUGUGUAGUGAUGAAAAGUAUUGUUUUCAAUAUAUUUUGAUUAAAGAUUCCUGCUUGAUUCCAAAUCUUUACAUUUUAGUAAUGACAAAUUCUUAUUUUUGAUAAAAAAAAUUAUUGUAAAUUUACAUGAUUUGAUCUCAUGGGAUAUAUGGGGAGAAGCUGAAGAAAUAUAUGCAGAAGAUAAAAGAGAGAUUUGGAGCUGCCGUGUCUCCUGUCACCGGCACGUGUCGUCACUGCAAUCGCUAAAGCUCGCCAGAUAAAUCGAAGCCACGUCAGCAUUACGGAUGGUGAAGUCGAAACGCUCUUCGAACGCUGAUAAGUGGCAAUUGAUGAUCAAACCGGCGUUUGUUCCCGAUAGCCACAUCAACACUACCAUCCGCCGCCACCAACCUUCGCCAUCAAUCACCAUUGUUGUUGUCUCUGGUAGCCGUUGUAAAGAACCCAACCCCAUGACCCCUCACCACCCUCGCCUAACAUCUCCUUCACGACCGAAAUAGAACCCAGUCAGUCCCCAUUAAGAUUACUGUAAUGUCAUUGUUUCGUAACUAUGUUUCGUGAUAUAGAUUUGUUUUAUGUGAGUGAAUUUGAUUAGAGGUAAAGUACACGGAUCAAUGGCAUGUGUGGGUAAGGUGAGAGGCCAAACCCCAAAGGUCGCCAAGCAGGACAAGAAGAAGCAGCCAUGUGGACGCGCUCACAAGCAUAUCCAGUACAACCGCCAUUUCGUCACCUCUGGUAAAGUUCACGGAUCGUUGGUGCGUGUGAGUAAGGUGAGAGGCGGAACCCCAAGGUCGCCAGGCAGGACAAGAAGCAGCAGCCUCGCGGACGCGCUCACAAGCCUAUCCAGUACAACUGUUGUAUUGUCACAGCCGGUUACCAUAAUAGAAAAAAAUUAACAAUGAUGGUGAUACCAAGCUUCUUUAUGCCAAAGGACUGGUCCUCGACUUUUUUGAGGGACCAAAUAGACAUUCACUAUUAUCUUCAAUAUUAAGUAUAUUGUUAUUUGAAACAGAUAAAGCGUUUGAAUAAUCCGGAGCAAUGAAACAUGGUGUGCUGACUCCAGUUGCUUAUGUGAACCCGAAACGCAUGUGCCAAAAGGCUCAGUCUUAUCCGUAUCAUUUUCAGGAUUCAAUUGCGAAUCAAACAUCCUUUUCCUGUUAGAUGGCAAGAUCAUAGCUCCAAAAAGAUCGGGAAGCUGGGAGUCAUCAGGACUCCUUCAAUUGCUCGAGUUCACCAAGCUAAACAAGAUAACGAUUCCGUUAUUGACGGCCAAGGCUCGGGGUGGUGGAGCGAGUCCGGCACUAAACCAACAGUAAGAACUACCCGCAACCGGGAUAAGUGGAAUCUAAAUUUCAUUUUUAAAAGUCUUUGGUUUGCAUAAUUUUUUAGAAUUAGAAUCUAAAUUUCAUUUGUGGUUUGAGUAAUGGAAUUGAAACGUAUCCACUUAAUGCUUUAAUGGUGAGUUUAGUUUGCGAUUUAA